CCGCAGCCGCAACGCCACCCGCAGACUCAGCCCCAGCCGUAGGCACAGCCACCGGCACAACCACAGCCCCAGCUCCUGCUGCAGCUCCUCCAGACACCGUCCCUACGCCGACAUCCUGGAGGUUGGGAUGCUCUUGUCCAAAAUCAACUCUCUUGCCCACCUGCGCGCCGCGCCCUGCAACGACCUGCACGCCACCAAGCUGGCGCCCGGCAAGGAGAAGGAGCCCCUGGAGUCACAGUACCAGGUGGGCCCGCUCCUGGGCAGCGGCGGCUUCGGCUCGGUCUACUCAGGCAUCCGUGUCGCCGAUAACUUGCCGGUGAGUGGGCGGCCCGCCGCGGGGAGGGCGCGCCGGACGGGGGGCGCACGGGUGUGUUUGGCCCGGGCGAGGGAACCUAACGCUCUCUGGGGGGCUUUCCAGGUGGCCAUCAAGCACGUGGAGAAGGACCGCAUUUCAGACUGGGGAGAGCUGCCUAAUGGCACCCGAGUGCCCAUGGAAGUGGUUCUGCUGAAGAAGGUGAGCUCGGGCUUCUCCGGCGUCAUUAGGCUCCUGGACUGGUUCGAGAGGCCCGACAGUUUCGUCCUGAUCCUGGAGAGGCCCGAGCCGGUGCAAGACCUCUUCGACUUUAUCACGGAAAGGGGGGCCCUGCAGGAGGAGCUGGCCCGCAGCUUCUUCUGGCAGGUGCUGGAGGCCGUGCGGCACUGCCACAACUGCGGGGUGCUUCACCGCGACAUCAAGGACGAGAACAUCCUUAUCGACCUCAAUCGCGGCGAGCUCAAGCUCAUCGACUUCGGGUCGGGGGCGCUGCUCAAGGACACCGUCUACACGGACUUCGAUGGGACCCGAGUGUAUAGUCCUCCAGAGUGGAUCCGCUACCAUCGCUACCAUGGCAGGUCGGCAGCCGUCUGGUCUCUGGGGAUCCUGCUGUACGAUAUGGUCUGUGGAGAUAUUCCCUUUGAGCACGAUGAGGAGAUCAUCAGGGGCCAAGUUUUCUUCAGGCAGAGGGUCUCUUCAGAGUGUCAACAUCUCAUUAGAUGGUGCUUGGCCUUGAGACCAUCAGAUCGGCCAUCCUUCGAAGAAAUCCAGAACCAUCCAUGGAUGCAAGAUGUCCUCCUGCCCCAGGAAACUGCUGAGAUCCAUCUCCACAGCCUGUUGCCAGGGCCCAGCAAAUAGCUUCUCAGGAGGCAGCAGAUGGAGUUAUUACUGCCCUUGGCUGAGGUGAUCUGGGAAGGCUUCAAAGAGGAGGCAGCAUUUCAACUGGACUUUGAAGGGUAAACCUCAGUUUGUUCACCUGUAAAGUGAGGCACAGAACAUACAGGUAAAGCAAAGAAAUCCAGAGGGGCUAAUGUUUUUCCCCCCUUUAGACCGGGGAGGGACAAGCCACAACCUGCUGACCGAGUCUGGCACACUACCUGGUUUUGCACGGCCUGUAAGCUAAGACUUGUUUUAACAUUUUAAAUGAUUGAAAACAGACUGAGUGAGGAAUAAUAUUUCAUAAGAGGUAAAGAUUAUGUGAAAUUUAAUUGUCAGCAUUAAGAAAUAAAGCUUAUCCAUUUAUGGAUUGUUUAUGACUGCUUUCAUAGUGCAAUGGCAGAGUUGAGUAGUUGUGACAAAGACCUUAUGGUCAGCAAAGCCAAAAAUAUUUACUAUCUGGCCCUUUACAGAAAAAAGUUUGCAAAUUCCUGCACUAGACCAUGGUCUCAUUGAUUCAUCUGCAUCUUUCAUAACACUUGGCGAUAAUAGCUAACACUUAUUCAGUACCUACCAUGUGCCCAGCACUGUUUUGCAUGCUUUGCAUGUCUUAGUCUUACAACAAUUCUCCACGAAGGAGAUAUUAUUAUUUAUCCCCAUUUUGCAGGUGGGGAAAACUGAGGUGCAGAGCAGUAAGUACUAUGUCAAAAGUCACAUACCUAAGAAGUGGCCAGGUUAGAAUUUGGACCCAGGUGGUCCAUGCUCACUACCACUCUGCUAUACUGCUACUUAAUAAAUGUUUGUGUGGAUUAGUCAUCUCAAGUUUCCUUCAGGGCCCAGAAUCUGGAUGGACGUCAAGGCAGUUCUUCCCCAGACUCCAGAGUGUCAGAAUAUUCCAUCAUAUGGACAGGCAUUUGGGUUGUGGUCAUUGGAGGCCAGUCUUUAGGGCCCCCCUGGGUAAGUUACUUAGGAGGUCAGCACAUACAGCCAGGUAUAGCCCUUGCCCCAUACCCUAGGGUAAGAGCCAGGGAUUGUGGAGCCAUUCCAGAUUUAUCCAUGGAGCAUCUACGGUGCACUGGGCACCAUGCUGUAAACCCUGAGAACUCCUUUUUCAUGCAUGAGUGGGUAGAAUCAGGCUUUUCUCAGGGUUUAAAGUGAUGCCAGCAAAUAGACAAAUGUCACAGCAAAGCAAAGAUCCGACGUUGCGUGGGGUCCAGUGAGAUCUAUGGAUCUGGCAGUUACUGUUGUGACUGUUGUGAAAGGUGUAGGGAUGAUGAUACGGUGAGGUGUGUGUAUGUGUGCAAAUAUGUGUAUCUUUGGUAUGUGUGGUGAAGCAUGGUGGUGUAUACGUAUUUGCGUGUGUGUUCAUGUGAAUGUAGAGUAUAGCACGUGCAGGUGUGGUUGUUGUAUAUGUGUAAGUAUGUGUUGUGCCUCGGUACAUACACACUCAUUCCUUAUUUUAAUUAAAAUUUUUUUUAAAUUUUCUUAUUUUUUUAUUUUUGGCUGUGCUGGGUCUUCCCUGCUGCACGUGGGCUUUCUCUAGUUACAGCGAGUGGGGCCUACUCUUCAUUGUGGUGCAUGGGUUUCUCACUGCAGUGGCUUCUCUUGUUGUGGAGCACAGGCUCUAGGCACGCAGGCUUCAGUAGAUGCGGCAUGUGGGCUUCAGUAGUUGUGGCUCCCAGGCUCUAGAGCACAGGCUCAGUAGUUGUGGCACAUGGGCUUAGUUGCUCCGUGGCAUGUAGGAUCUUCCUGGACCAGGGCUCGAACCCAUAUCCCCUGCAUUGGCAGGCAGAUUCUUAACCACUGCACCACCAGGGAAGUCCCCACACUCAUUCUUGGAGGUACUACCUGCUUCCCCACCUGGACUAAAGAGUCACAUUUCUUCACCCCAUGGCCUGCUGCCUCUUUUCCUACCUUUGCCCUGGUUCUCUCCUCUGCCCCACUCCCUCUCUCACCUCUCUUCACCUCUUACCUUCUUCUCGAUCUUCAGCUCAGAUCCCACCUCCCAGAACCACCCACCCAAUUCUCUUUCUUCCUCUUCCCAGCUCCUCCUCCAGAUGGCCAAUCCCAAUAUACCUUUGAGAUCUCAUCCUUAUUUAACCUUGCCAUCUUCAUAAAACUGUUGGCUGCCCGCCUGGUUUCAUAACUCCUGGUUUGCCUUCGACUCCUCUGUCGAUUAGGCCCCAUUUCCUCUCCCUCUCCUUGCCCUUUAAACUUGGGUGUUCUUUCCCUUCCUCACUCCCAAGCCCUCUGUGUUGGCCAGGAUCCUGGUAGGAAACAGAUGGCACACUCAGAUUGGGUAAUGCAGGGAAGAGUGUGAAAAAGAACUAUUUACAAAGGUGUGGGGCAGGUGCUGGGAAACCACGUGGGGCAGUGCUGUACCCUGGGGCUAGCGCAGUGGGAGCACUCCCUCACUCAGGCCUGAGGGCUGGGGGAGGAGCCUGCCUGAUGUCAGCUGUAACCUUCAUUCGGGAGAAGCGGUCACCCUGUGCUAACCCUGCGUGGAGGGAGUGAGAAAGAAAUACCCGUGCUUCUCUCUUCCCAUCCUCUGUUCUCCUACCAGGGCCUCCCAUGGACUGAACUCAGCUGAAAGUCAGAAGGCAGGGAGUCUGGUGUGAGGCAGUCCACAUAGGUCAGCCUUUCCAGGCACAGAGGAAGCUGGAGAAGGGUGGGGAACAGCUCUGGAGGCCAAGGGAAGACGCCCAGCAUGGUCGCUGCUGUAUUGUGCUUCCUCCCCUGGCUUCACGGACCAUCUUCUUCAUGGCGAUUGCCACAACUCCUGCAUAGACCUCUCUCGUGAGUUCAGGCCUGGGGAUCAAUAGCCUCCUAGAUACCACUGCCCAGGGGCUCCCAGGAACCCAGGAACUGCAUAUCACUUGAGUGCCUGCAGGAAAAUGAUCGAGACCUUCCCAACCCCUGAAUUCCACCCUGCCACUGCUCACCUCUCAGCUCCUCUCAUGAAGUUCCUUAGAGACACAGAUGCCCACAUAUUUUCUAAGUGAAAAGAAUUUUUUUGCUUAUAAAAAUGAUACAAGCUUUUUAGUAAAAAUAAUGGUAUGAAGUGAAUUAAAGUUAUAUGAUGUAAUUCUACCACUCUAGAGAGAAAUACUUUUAGCACAUCCAUAUUUAUAUUUAAAUAUGUAUAUAUUUAUAUGUACACACAUAUUAGCUAUAUAUAAUUUUACAGAACAGAGCUCAUAUUUUUGGUAACCUGUUUUUCCCCCACUUAACAAUGUACUAUUGAAAUGCUUCCAUUUCAAGAACUAUGGACAAACAUAAUCAUUUUGAUACGGCUACAGUAUGGGUGUACCUUAUUAAUUUUGGUACUUUGUAAUUUUCUGACAUUAUAUAUGAAAUAUUCUGUUACCUGAUAUGGCUUUGGGCAAAGAUGAAUUGUUGCCUAUGUCAACAUCUAUUAUUCUUUUCUUUCCUUGGUCAUAGAACCUCUGAUUUUUUAGCUAGUCAUAUGGCCUUUCUUAAGAAUAAAGACUAACUCCCUCAGAUUCCCUUGCAGCUAGCUGUGGACACAUGACAAAGUUCUGCCCAGUGAAAAGGAAGCAAAAGUGUUUUAGGAGCAGAUUCCAAGGAAAUUCCUUAAGAGACAUCUGGUAUGUACCCUUCCCCUUUGGAUGGAAGGAGGAGCUAUUAUGGGAAGAGGGUCAUGUGGUUGUGGGGAGGGGAUACAUGCAGAGUAAGCAAAAGUUAAAAGCUCCCUCAGGCCACUCCAUUAAUCCAAGCCCUCAUCACUAUCAUUUUAUUUUAUGGCAAGCUUGUACUAUUUCACCAGAAAAAUAUUUUCCCCUUAAGUGAGUGAUUUUUUUAAAAAUGUAUGGUGUCUUUAAGUAUAUUUCAUCGUAUCUUGGAGACCAGUGUCUGCCCUCUCACGCCCCUGAUGACACAUCUCUCCAAUUUUAUAAUACAAGUCAGUUAAAAAGUGAAAUUUGAUAUCAAGCCAAGUCUCAUUUA